AUUGAACGCUGGCGGCAUGCCUUACACAUGCAAGUCGAACGGCAGCACGGGUGCUUGCACCUGGUGGCGAGUGGCGAACGGGUGAGUAAUAUAUCGGAACGUACCUUAUUGUGGGGGAUAACGCAGCGAAAGCUGUGCUAAUACCGCAUAAUCCCUAAGGGGGAAAGCGGGGGACCGUAAGGCCUCGCGCAAUUAGAGCGGCCGAUACCUGAUUAGCUAGUUGGUGAGGUAAAGGCUCACCAAGGCAACGAUCAGUAGCUGGUCUGAGAGGACGAUCAGCCACACUGGGACUAAGACACGGCCCAGACUCCUACGGGAGGCAGCAGUGGGGAAUUUUGGACAAUGGGGGCAACCCUGAGCCAGCAAUGCCGCGUGAGUGAAGAAGGCCUUCGGGUUGUAAAGCUCUUUUGUCAGGGAAGAAACAGCAGCUCUAACACAGUUUGCGAAUGACGGUACCUGAAGAAUAAGCACCGGCUAACUACGUGCCAGCAGCCGCCGUAA
rnacentral:rRNA from 1 species